rnacentral:tRNA from 1 species
GGGGUUGUAGCUCAGUGGUAGAGCAUUUGCCUAGCAUGUGAAAGGCCCUGAGUUUGAUCCUCAGCACCA